rnacentral:rRNA from 1 species
UACAGAGGGUGCGAGCGUUAAUCGGAGUUACUGGGCGUAAAGGGCGCGUAGGCGGUGAUAUGAGUGUGAUGUGAAAGCCCCGGGCUUAACCUGGGAAGUGCAUCGCAAACGAUAUGACUGGAGUAGAUGAGAGGGUGGCGGAAUUUCCGGUGUAGCGGUGAAAUGCGUAGAGAUCGGAAGGAACGUCGAUGGCGAAGGCAGCCACCUGGCAUCAUACUGACGCUGAGGCGCGAAAGCGUGGGGAGCGAACAGG